AAUUGCUUUACCACCACUAAAAAUCGAGCCAUGCUAUGUUGACAAUACUUUCCUUCACCUUAUGCCUAUCUACACAAUUGUUUUAGUGUUGCAGAUAGGGCUGGACAGGGACCUGAAAACCGGCACAAUCCGCAUAAACCGAAACCAAAAAAAACAAAUUGGGUCGGAUGCAAGCAGUUUAGCGGUUUUGCGGCCCCAAUUUACGGUUUCGCAUGGCCUAUAGUGGCGGGUCCGGUUCAGCAAAUUGAAUCCGUGGGUAACCAUACCCGUCCGCAUGUCAGUAGAAUUCAUUAAUGAUUAAACGCCACAUUUGUUCUUGAUAUAUCAGAGUACUUUCAUCUCAUUUCAUUGUAGUUUCAACCCUAUAUUUCUCCUUUCCAGAAAUUCGUCCUCCCUCUUCUCUUCAAAAUGUUACGAACCCUAAACACCACCACCAACGCUCCAUUCUAUUUUGCGCCACCAUCGAAUACACAAUCACUUCAUGAUGAUUCGUUCUUCACACACGGGCAAAUUGAGGUGUAGCCGAUGAAUUUAAUCAGGUCUCUUCUUAUCUAUGCUGGAGCCCGGAGGAAAGACGUUGGUUAUUCAAGUAAUUGAAUUUUACGGCACUAGAAAAUUCAAUGUUCUUUUGACAACAUAUGAGUAUCUGAUGAACAAGCAUGAUAGACCAAAGCUAAGCAAAGUACAUUGACACUAUAUAAUAAUUGAUGAAGGCCACCGCAUAAAGAACGCCUCUUGCAAGUUGAAUGCCGACUUGGAACACUACCAGAGCUCUCACAGAUUGCUGUUAACUGGAACUCCAUUGCAGGCUUUACUUACUGAGGAGGAGAAUCAAUUGAUCAUAUAUCGCCUGCACCGAGUUUUGAGACCAUUUGUACUUCAGAGGCUUAAACACUUUACUUAAAACUUAAUUCACAAAACACACACAUACUUGUGUGUCUUGUGAGUUAUGAUUCUUGUUUUGAUUCUUUUAAUCGGCUAUUCAUUCUAGUCGUACUUGAAAUAAAAUUAUUAAUAAUUGUAUAUUAUUAUUCUUAUCCUGGUGUAUGCUUUAUUCAUUUUUUUUUUUGGGUUGAGGCCUUAAUUUCCAUAUUUUGAAUCAUGUGAAUAUAUGAUGCAUUAUGUGAAUUCAGUUACAGAAGUGUUGCUGAACUCUGAGAUAUACGUUAGAAAUCUGAUAUUGUUGUUUCUGAUAUAUGAAUAUGAUUAUAGCAUUAUGUGGUUUUUGUGUGGCUAAAAUAAGGUUUAUU